rnacentral:rRNA from 1 species
CUCUUGAGAGCGGCGGACGGGUGAGUAAUGCCUAGGAAUCUGCCUGGUAGUGGGGGAUAACGUCCGGAAACGGACGCUAAUACCGCAUACGUCCUACGGGAGAAAGCAGGGGACCUUCGGGCCUUGCGCUAUCAGAUGAGCCUAGGUCGGAUUAGCUAGUUGGUGAGGUAAUGGCUCACCAAGGCGACGAUCCGUAACUGGUCUGAGAGGAUGAUCAGUCACACUGGAACUGAGACACGGUCCAGACUCCUACGGGAGGCAGCAGUGGGGAAUAUUGGACAAUGGGCGAAAGCCUGAUCCAGCCAUGCCGCGUGUGUGAAGAAGGUCUUCGGAUUGUAAAGCACUUUAAGUUGGGAGGAAGGGUUGUAGAUUAAUACUCUGCAAUUUUGACGUUACCGACAGAAUAAGCACCGGCUAACUCUGUGCCAGCAGCCGCGGUAAUACAGAGGGUGCAAGCGUUAAUCGGAAUUACUGGGCGUAAAGCGCGCGUAGGUGGUUUGUUAAGUUGGAUGUGAAAGCCCCGGGCUCAACCUGGGAACUGCAUUCAAAACUGACAAGCUAGAGUAUGGUAGAGGGUGGUGGAAUUUCCUGUGUAGCGGUGAAAUGCGUAGAUAUAGGAAGGAACACCAGUGGCGAAGGCGACCACCUG